ACACUAACUGGAGGACCGAACCGACUAAUGUUGAAAAAUUAGCGGAUGACCUGUGGCUGGGGGUGAAAGGCCAAUCAAACCGGGAGAUAGCUGGUUCUCCCCGAAAGCUAUUUAGGUAGCGCCUCGUGAAUUCAUCUCCGGGGGUAGAGCACUGUUUCGGCUAGGGGGCCAUCCCGGCUUACCAACCCGAUGCAAACUGCGAAUACCGGAGAAUGUUAUCACGGGAGACACACGGCGGGUGCUAACGUCCGUCGUGAAGAGGGAAACAACCCAGACCGCCAGCUAAGGUCCCAAAGUCAUGGUUAAGUGGGAAACGAUGUGGGAAGGCCCAGACAGCCAGGAUGUUGGCUUAGAAGCAGCCAUCAUUUAAAGAAAGCGUAAUAGCUCACUGGUCGAGUCGGCCUGCGCGGAAGAUGUAACGGGGCUAAACCAUGCACCGAAGCUGCGGCAGCGACACUGUGUGUUGUUGGGUAGGGGAGCGUUCUGUAAGCCUGUGAAGGUGUGUCGUGAGGCAUGCUGGAGGUAUCAGAAGUGCGAAUGCUGACAUAAGUAACGAUAAAGCGGGUGAAAAGCCCGCUCGCCGGAAGACCAAGGGUUCCUGUCCAACGUUAAUCGGGGCAGGGUGAGUCGACCCCUAAGGCGAGGCCGAAAGGCGUAGUCGAUGGGAAACGGGUUAAUAUUCCCGUACUUGGUGUUACUGCGAAGGGGGGACGGAGAAGGCUAUGUUGGCCGGGCGACGGUUGUCCCGGUUUAAGCGUGUAGGUGUGUGUUCCAGGUAAAUCCGGUUCACUUUAACACUGAGGCGUGACGACGAGGCACUACGGUGCUGAAGCAACAAAUGCCCUGCUUCCAGGAAAAGCCUCUAAGCAUCAGGUAACAUCAAAUCGUACCCCAAACCGACACAGGUGGUCAGGUAGAGAAUACCAAGGCGCUUGAGAGAACUCGGGUGAAGGAACUAGGCAAAAUGGUGCCGUAACUUCGGGAGAAGGCACGCUGACACGUAGGUGAAGUGAUUUACUCAUGGAGCUGAAGUCAGUCGAAGAUACCAGCUGGCUGCAACUGUUUAUUAAAAACACAGCACUGUGCAAACACGAAAGUGGACGUAUACGGUGUGACGCCUGCCCGGUGCCGGAAGGUUAAUUGAUGGGGUCAGCGCAAGCGAAGCUCCUGAUCGAAGCCCCGGUAAACGGCGGCCGUAACUAUAACGGUCCUAAGGUAGCGAAAUUCCUUGUCGGGUAAGUUCCGACCUGCACGAAUGGCGUAAUGAUGGCCAGGCUGUCUCCACCCGAGACUCAGUGAAAUUGAACUCGCUGUGAAGAUGCAGUGUACCCGCGGCAAGACGGAAAGACCCCGUGAACCUUUACUAUAGCUUGACACUGAACAUUGAGCCUUGAUGUGUAGGAUAGGUGGGAGGCUUUGAAGUGUGGACGCCAGUCUGCAUGGAGCCGACCUUGAAAUACCACCCUUUAAUGUUUGAUGUUCUAACGUGGACCCGUUACCCGGGUUGCGGACAGUGUCUGGUGGGUAGUUUGACUGGGGCGGUCUCCUCCUAAAGAGUAACGGAGGAGCACGAAGGUUGGCUAAUCCUGGUCGGACAUCAGGAGGUUAGUGCAAUGGCAUAAGCCAGCUUGACUGCGAGCGUGACGGCGCGAGCAGGUGCGAAAGCAGGUCAUAGUGAUCCGGUGGUUCUGAAUGGAAGGGCCAUCGCUCAACGGAUAAAAGGUACUCCGGGGAUAACAGGCUGAUACCGCCCAAGAGUUCAUAUCGACGGCGGUGUUUGGCACCUCGAUGUCGGCUCAUCACAUCCUGGGGCUGAAGUAGGUCCCAAGGGUAUGGCUGUUCGCCAUUUAAAGUGGUACGCGAGCUGGGUUUAGAACGUCGUGAGACAGUUCGGUCCCUAUCUGCCGUGGGCGCUGGAGAACUGAGGGGGGCUGCUCCUAGUACGAGAGGACCGGAGUGGACGCAUCACUGGUGUUCGGGUUGUCAUGCCAAUGGCACUGCCCGGUAGCUAAAUGCGGAAGAGAUAAGUGCUGAAAGCAUCUAAGCACGAAACUUGCCCCGAG
rnacentral:rRNA from 3 species